rnacentral:lncRNA from 1 species
AUGCAACCCUGGUGGAAAGGACUGCCCAGCCUUAAAGCUUUUUGCUCUCUAGAGAGAAGUCCAAGACAUGCUGUUUGCAAAACCGAUGUAAAUCUGGAGAAACUGCAGCCAGGGGUGUUGGGUGACCUUUCCCCUGCUGUCACCAAGGGCAGAGUCUGGCCUGCUCCACGUUUCUCAGCGGGAACAUCUCAGUUCCCACAGCCAGUCCCUGGUUAAAGUACCACAAACAGGAAAAUACGAAAACAUGACAACAUCAGACAAACCCCUUUCACAGAUGCACGUCCAGGAGGAAUGUUGCAGGUGUUUAUCAGAAAAAAAGAAAAGAACAACAACAAAAAGGUUGGGGGAUCAGCUGUGUAAAUGAACAUUGAGAGAGCAUCUAAUAUAUUAUUCUGUAAUACAAAAAGAAGAAAUCUGACUUGAUUGCCCUAUUAUAAAUUUGCUAAAAAUACAGAUAUAUAUUUAUAUUUUUAUAUAUAUAUAUAUAAUUUUUUUAAAUCUGAACAGAAAAAUAGACUACUCUGGAAUGCAUGAAAGUCACAUGACUUUUCCAUACAUCAGAUACUUAUAAAGCCAACACAAUGGCAAGCAGGAGGUACAGAGGUAACUAGAACAUCUGUACUUUAUUCAAGAACUAUUUAAAGCCAUAUUCUCCCCAGGUGGAUGAUCCAAAUGAACCCAAGGUAGCACUUGUUGUGUGCAGAAGUGACUGACCAAACAUGGAGGAGCUGGGGCAGGUUUGGAGCCCCAGGGAAGCCCAUCUUGCUGGAGGGCACCGGCACCUCCCGGCCUCCUUUGCUCGACUGCUUCACUCAGGAAUUGCAGGGUUUGCUUUAGAAUGAGUGUUCUGUGGAGCUUACCAACAGAGAGAACGUGGCUUUAGAAACCUUGUCUUUGUGAUGAGUUUUACAUAACCUUGUUAUUUACUAUAAACUGUACCGGUCAUAAUUCCGUCAAGACAUAAAUAUACAGUAGGUACAAAUAUUAACAAUACAUUACAAUUUUACAGAAGAGAAUACUGUUUUCCUUAGAAAUGUGUAUCUUAUUAGCUGCAAGGGAAGAAAAGGCUACAGUUUAUCACAGCCAUAGUUGCCAAACAACCUGACCACCUCAGAUGUGUUUCUCAUGACUUGCCCAGGCAGAUAUUCCCCGGCAUUUGACACACGGCAUGUUCAGGAAGGGAAUGUGCAUUCCAUGGAUUUCUUUUCCUCUCACUUGCUUUUUUUUUUUUUUUCCUCCUUUUCUCUACCUUCUUUUUUUGACUCUCAAACCUUUCAGAAAAAUGUGGAUUCAUAGAAGACUCUUGUUUUGGGUUGGGUUUUUUUCUGUAAGUGUGCUUAGGUGAAGUUUUUAAGGAAAGGCACUGAGAAAUCUACUGCAAAGUCACUGUUUUUUUCCUCUGUUCAAGGCUAAAACUCAAAGAAUCUUUAGCCUUCUGGUUAAGAAAAGUGCACCCUCUCCUUUCACACACACACACACACACACAUAUAUAUAUAUGUAUGUUCUAUAUAUAUAUUUAUAGGUAUGUGUUAAAAGUGAUGUUGAUGGCAUAAGAUACAAGCAAGUGCAGACAUCACACAUCCAGAGAGAGUCCUUUCAGGUAUGAUGUCUUCUGCAGCAGCAGGUGAGGCUCUGUCAGCUUGCUUGCUACUUGGUGCAGAGUAAAUUUGCAGACCUGAAUGCCAAAUAUCAGUGAUUAAACCAUACGCUUUAGCUUGAUGCAAGAGAUGUUGCCUAUUUUCCCCAACCACUAUGAACUUUGGGAAACAUGGAUCAAAUAAACAAAAAUUAAAUUGUCUUUCUAGGAUCUAU